GCCUGAGCUUCCCCCGGGAGCGACUGGCGUCUAGCUCCAUUUUGGGUUCGUUUGCUGACUCGCCUUCCACUUUGACUUCCACCGGACCAAAAGAGAGAUCGCCCAAUGGCGUAGAUCAAGAAGUUUCCGCUUCCUCGUUUGAGCUGCUCCAAACCUUUUCAAUCCAAACAACUUUGAUUUGAAGUCGGCUUGACUUGCUUCUUUCUCUUGUUCUAACGCUACUGUGCCUUCCGUCCCUGAUUCGGAAUCGGAAGAAGAAAGUUUUUUUCUCCUUAAUCGAUCGGAGUUCCCGCGCUUCAAGUUUCUUUCAUACGGACAUACAUCAAGCUCUUCUUUGGGAAGACCAUCGGGGAUGACUAGCCUUCAUUGCCUAGCAGCUCAUCUCCAGCUCUCUCUUUCUCCUCCCUAACACCCUACUCUCUCUCCUUGUGCUUUGAUGCGGAUCUCAGGUAGAAAUAAGAGAAGCUGAGAGAUUCACCUGCAGGGACGCGCUCCGGUCUAAGGCCUUUUUGUUGCUGACGUACGAUCCCCGUCCACCUUCAAAGGGGAGCUAUGUAGACAGAUUUUUUUUUUCUUUACUUUCGUGUUUGGAGUAGGUGAUAAUGAGGAACAGCAAGGAGAUGGCUUUUUAGCCAAAACAGUGUGGUGUGGGUAGCCUGCCCCAAUCAAGCGUAGCGAUCACUGAACGAUUGAUUCCUAUUCUUAUUAUACAAUAUUCUUGGAUGAGAUAGAUGGUGGGAACAAUGAAGCGGAUUCUUCAUCUGUAGCUUGCAAUCUGUAUUCUUUCUUUUCUCGAUCUACUGCUUGCUUUCGCUUAUCCGACGCACUCACAUCCAACUACUUAAACUGGGACGGGACCAAUCAUGUUGAUUGCCUAUCCUACCCAGCUCUAACAACUGGUUUGGUUGUUGAAUCACAAAUCACAAACUUUAUCCUCUCAAUCGGAGAGGCCUCUAGUCCCCAGUUCUAUUAAAAAUUCCUUAUUUAUUAUCUUACCAAGGUAGUUUACUUGCUUACUUGUUAGAGUAAGGAAAGCAGACAGUCUAUUGCGGAUCUUCACUUAAAUCAUAGGAAGCAGAGAGGACUGGAUCUGGAUACCAUAAGGCACAUGCAACAACAUGAAAAGCGUCGGAAAAGAGGAUGUGACCAUGAAUCGGAAUCGGAAGAGGUUGGGCUGGUUUUGAGCUGCCCUUAGACCGAUUCUCUCUUUCGGUUCGGUAGCAGACACCAACCAAGAUAGGCUAGGCUGGGAAACCUUAUUCGUAUUCGAUACGAUAGGACAGGUAAACAAAGCAAGGCCUGGAGUGAAAGAGUCUGGGUCAAGAGAUUUUCCCCUGGAAGCCUGCCUAGAAGGAUAAGAGAAGAGGCAGGAAGACGGGCUUAGCUCUUUUCAGGUUGAGAAGGUUGAAUUGAAAACUUUCACCUGGUCUAAUCCGGAGGAGAGAUGUCUUGGUUGAAUGCUUUCUGUAGAGAUAAUAUUUUAGGUAUGAAGUGUCUGGUUUGAUAAAAGAACCAGGAGUGGGCACGGAAAAGAAAAUCUGCAGAGGACGACCUGGCCUGGUCGACCCAAUUCGAGUAGCAGAAGGCUUUAUUUUAGAUUAUGGAGAUAAUUCGUCAACCACAAAAUCAAACUUAUAAGGAAAGCCCAUCGAAGAGAUAGAACUACCUUGGCCUAUUCCCAACCAUAUCUUGGCUAUGGAUCUUAAGGUAUUUCCUUAAAAAACUAAUUGCCGAUCCGAGGAAGGGAAGACAUGGAAGAUAGAACAAAAUGGGUCUCAAUACGGCUCCUCUCACUCUGGUCGAGCUGCUACGCUCCUCAUUGACUGGAAAUGAUUGAGAUUUUAUCGCUUACUAGAGAUCCUGAGAAGCUCAGAAUGCAACCAAGCCCUAGUGCCCCCUCUCUUUCAAUAUCGGUGGAUCCUAGGGAUCCGUUUGAUUGAUAGAAGGAUCAGGGAGAACCCCUAUCCGACCAAUGGAUCUUCCAACUAGAAUUCUCAAGGACUUGACCUCUAUUAAAGCAGUUGCUAAAUUGAUAUAGCGAUCCCUUGAAUCCAAUGCAUCCAUGGAACCAAUCGCAGAUUAUGGAGCAAAAGUAAUCAUAGAGAAGCUAAGCUUUCAGGCAAGGGAGGUAUAGGC